AUGUAAUUGCAUGUAAACAGAUAGCAAGGCCGAAGAACCAAAGACGGAACCAGAGACUACAAAACUAACGAAAGAAGAACUUCUGAAAGAACUUCAUAGCAAUUAUUUUUUUUAUCUGUUCCAGGGCCCUUACAGUCCUAAGGUGAGCAAGCCUGAAGAAUCACAGCCUAAAGAAGAAUCACAGCUUGAAGAAUCAGAGAAUGAUGAAUCAGAGAAUUAUGAAUCAGAGACUGAUGAAUCCGAGGAUGAAGAAAUUGGUGAAUGUAAGUAUUGUUUAAAGGUGGGUGACCACCAUACAGAACUAUGCUCUUACAUUGAUGAGGUCCCAGAGAAUGCAAUUGUUGGUGAGAGUUGUGUGGUUACAUGUCUUGUAUGUGGCUGCUUCUUUAGAGACUCGCGUUGUGCUAAUUGUGGCAUAACCCUAGGACGUGCACUCUUCAAGGAUUGUUUAAUAUGUGGGAAGCGAGGUGAACACAUGGAAUUUGAGUGCCCGGAACUUGAGCCGAAUCCUGAUUUUUCUUUCGACCCUUAUGGUCGUUCUUUUAUGGUCGAUAUUCGCCCUUAAUUGUACUCUAGAGUUGAAGUAAGGGAGAAAGAAGUGUUUUUUUUUA